rnacentral:rRNA from 1 species
UACGAAGGGUGCAAGCGUUACUCGGAAUUACUGGGCGUAAAGCGUGCGUAGGUGGUGAGUUAAGUCUGUCGUGAAAGCCCCGGGCUCAACCUGGGAAUGGCGAUGGAUACUGGCUCGCUAGAGUACUGUAGAGGGUAGUGGAAUUUCCGGUGUAGCGGUGAAAUGCGUAGAGAUCGGAAGGAACACCAGUGGCGAAGGCGGCUACCUGGACAGAUACUGACGCUGAGGCACGAAAGCGUGGGGAGCAAACAGG